AACACUGCCGCCAGCUCGAGCACGGCAGCAUACUCGCGGGCGACCCAGCGUAGGCACCGAUGGAUGAGCAGGCGCAGGGAAUUCUCCACCGGAUUACCUUGCACGGCCACAGUGCGUUCGGGGGACCCACACAGCCCACCUCUUCCUCCUGUUGUACAAGCAGAUUAACCGGAGCAAUCGCGGAGGGACGCUUUCUCCGGUGAAUGGUCGACACCAUUGCUCCAGCGAAUGGUCAGCGCCCCUCCAAGUUGAUGGUGUUGAACCAUUGAUCACCCUGCAGCUCACUGGUCGACGAUGCGCAGAUACCAAAACUUAGUUUCUGGAUGGGCGAGUUGUAUUCACAAAGCAAGAAAAGCCUGUAAUGCCACUGAAGGAUCCAACAUCUGAUAUGACUAUCAUUGCACUUAAAGGUUCUGUUCUGGUUCAGAAAAUUCGUGAAAAGGAGAGCCAGUGUUUCUGGGAUCUUGUUGGAUCUAAUCUUGGAAUUAUAUUGGGUGUUGAGAGAACGUCUGCAAGACAAAUAUAUUACCAGAUAAUCUGCUGUGUGAACCUGCCCCUGCAAUAUUGGACUGAGUGGUAAUAUGUAUUUCUCCUCCUGGUUUUGCUUGGAGCUGGCAUGCUUCAUUUGUAUGCAACCAAGCGGACUCAUCGUGACCGCCCACCUGUGAUGCAUACUCCUCAACAUGUGUCGCCAUACCUGCGAAUUGGAAGAGGAGAUGUGGAGCGCGUAAUUAAUCACGUGCGCGUAGCGCUUCGACGGGGAGGACUGAGGAAGUUGUCCUGGACGCUGCUGGGCGACAAGGCCGGGAGGAAGGCGUGGUGUACGUCCAGAACUGCUGCUGGGCGACAAUGGCGACAGACGUGAUUGAGGGCGUUGUCCUGGACCCUGCUGGGCGACAACAGCGAGAGGAAGGCGUGGUGUACGUCCAGAAGUGCUGCUGGGCG